CAAGAGUAUUUCAGUUUGGCUUUAUGCCCUCUGAAAAUCUCCACCCUUUGUUUACAUUACCUUUGUUGUUGCCUCGGUGGGUGCUUUAUAGCACCUGCCGGCAGACACCUUCAAGAACCCUUGAUUUAAUACUAUAGUCAGAGCUGUAACAAGCAAAAGAUUAAUAAAUCA
rnacentral:misc_RNA from 1 species